rnacentral:piRNA from 1 species
UGACCACAAGUUGGUGUUCAGUGUCGUCU